AGGCUGCAAAACAUCCACAGUAAACCCUCUCCAACCCAUACAAGAAUUUCAACAUUCAUAAUUUCCGUUGCAUAUCAGUUAACACUUAGCAUUCGACUCUAGCGAGAACCACACUAGUGCAGAGAGAGCCAACACAAAACAAUCAAAUUCAGUAACAACAACAAGAAUCACAGACCAAUCUUCAAGGUUUCACACACUCUAUACUCAUGACUUCAUAUUUCAUAAAGAGCAUGAAUUACAUGAUAUUAGUGACAUACACAAAAGACUAAGAACUAUCUCUGAUAUGUGCUCUACUAUAUUCAUAGUUGAAAACAAAAGUUUUGAUUCCAAAAUUGAGUCUUUAACACAAAGUUGAGUUUUCUGAAAACUAUUUCAAAUCCACGAACCUAUUGAGUGAUAAAACGAGAGGGAGGAAGUAGGGACUACCGAGGCCUGCUGUCCACAGAAACGGCGGCUGCCGGGUUCUUGCUGCCAACAGCAGCGGCCGACGGCGGUGCUCCUGCAGCGAGCUGCUGGCCCUCGACCUCAGGCAGCAGCAGCGGCGGCAGGUGGCGUUUCAGGAGCGACGACCUCGACUCCAGGCGAAGGAGAGCUCCAGCUGGUGACAGCGGCGACGGCUCCGAGCGAGGCGGACUGCUGGAGGUCAGAUCCGUCGAUCUCAGGCGAAGCAGCAGCAGCUCCAGACGGCGGCGGCUUCACUGGGCGACUGCAGGCGGAGCGGGCGGCGGCGCGAUGCCGAACGAGAGAGAGAGAGAGAGAGAGAGAGAGAGAGAGAGAGGCGCGCGUCUUUGUGUGUGUGCGUGAGUUGUGAAAG